GGCGGAGUGGGAGAGGAGCCAGCUGCAUUUAGGUUUCUGUUCCCAAACUCCUAGGCAGUUAUACCUGCCAGUGGUGAAAACGCAGACCUGCCCCGGGUCCAGCGACAUUCGGAGUCCCAGACUCUGGAGGGGGACCUGGAAUCUGACUUAUAAAUAACACGUUGGUUGAUUCUGAGGCGGGUGAGUACGGAAAUGCUGCUUCCAGCCCCCUCCCCCAAGGGGCCCCAUCUUGGUUUCUAACAAUGGAAAACACUUCCUACAGCCUCAGGUCACCCCAGAAAGGAAAGUGCCCGCCCAGGACCGUCCUAUUUGAAUCUAGCUCCACUGGCCAGGUAGCGCUUUACCGCUUACAAAAUGCCCAGGCGACAGCCCACUCACACCUCGGUACCUGACCCGUACCUGACCUCUGCAGGUGGACGCAAGCACGCGUGUUGACCACGGGGCUCGAAUAUGCAGGGGAUAAGACUUAAAGGAGAGAGUGGGGAAAAGAGAGAGGGAAGGGGGAAAGUGUUUAAGAAAGGAAGAGAGAAGAAAAAGGAAGAAAAAUGGUAAAGGGGAAAUAAAUUUCAAAAAAUGUAGUAUUAUUUCUAACCUUUAUUUUCCCCCUCUAUCUAGUUUUGUCAUUUGUUGACAUUUGACUUCAGCUGUUUGAUCUUUCUCUGAAUGCAUAAAUAGAUGGCUAUUGUUGUUAUUGUGGGACCAUUUGAGAGAAAGUUGCAGAUCAGGACCCAUUAACUCCAGAUGUGUCAGGGUGUGUCUUUUAGCAACACCAACAAGGUGUUUGGUUGUUUUUAUAUAACCAAAGUACAAAUUUUAAAGAGGAUAAUAUUUUUAAAACCAACUUUAUUGGGCCGUACUUUGCAUACAAUAUAAUGCAUCUAUUUGAAAUGCACAGCUGGUUGAGUUCUGGCAAUUGUACACACCCAUGUCACCACUACCACAGUGAAGAUGUGGGACAUUUCCAUCUCCCCAAAGAAAGGUCAUGUGAUAAAAAUCUUUGCAACCAAUAAAAGGCAUAAGAUAGAUUUUAAUAUAUUGCUGUGAAAAGGUGUGCCCAAUACACUGUCAAGCUUUGCCAAAGCUUAAGAACAAACUGAAUUAUAAUGCCACUAAUCCCACUAAUAUAAUACAUGUUUUACACAGAGGAAAACCUAGAAGAUUUCUCACCAAAGUUUGACAGUGAUAUCCCCAGGGAGUAGGAUAACUUGGUGAUUUUCACUUUCUCUGAUAUGCAGAAAUUUCUCUUUUAGUAUACAUUUGAAUUUGUAUGGGAGUCAGGGAGAAUAUUUCAGUUUUUAAAUAUUGUAAAAUUAAGCCCAAAACUCAGUAAAUUUCAGAUUUUUAAAAACCAAAAUGUUAAUUAAAACACUAUACUUUCUUCUAUAAGACACAGCUUCACAUUUUGAUAGCACUGAAUCUUUCUUAAAUUGUUUCUGAAAGGGAUGUCUUGAGUGGAGUAGACAGAUAUGUAAAACUAAGACAAAAGGCGCAGGCUAGAAUAAAAAGAAGUGCAAAAUCAAGUGCAAGCACUGGGUACCUGUCACAGUUAUGCUUCAACCACACCGGAAACCCACAUUGCCAUAGCAUCCUUGGGUCUUAGACAAAGUUCGGGCAGAUCUUGUUCCUUGAACAUCAAUUUGCCCUUGAGAAAGGUCAAAGGCUUCAGAGCAAGUCUAAAGAAGGAGUUUCUGAUCUAAAGAACUUUCAAGAAUGUUUGGGCAAAGGCAGCAUCUGCAAGAGGAUCCAGUCCAUCUGGGCAGUUGCCUCAGGCAGGGAGAGUAUGCAGAGAAGCUGUUCGGGUGGGUAGUUCCAGUGGGUCUGAGGCCCCAAGGGGCUUCCCGGGCCAAGCAUGCCACUGGCUGUGUUUUGCUUAGGUGAGGGAUGGGGUGCUGGGGAGGCAGGAACUCCAGCAAUAACAACAGAGAAAGGAAGUGCAGAAGGAAGUGCCCAAAGCCUCCACGCUCCUCCUCACCACCCCCUUCCCCAGCCCAAAGCAGAGGGGGAAGUGCAGAGACUCAAGUAAAAAGAGCAGGCUUCACAGGCCUCAUGAUGGUGCCUGGCUACCUUCUUCAGGAGACUGGUGAUGAGUUCAAACUCGGGGGAGAUUGUAAAAGUUAUCCUUGGAAAAGUAGGUCCUUAUUUCCCAUGCUUAUUAAUUUGGCUUAUUUACCAAAUUCAUCUUAAUAGAAAACAAAAACGAACAAAAAAUUCUGAGGUGAUUUUUCUAGACAAUAGAAGGUCCUGCACUCUCCCCAUUCCUCAUGGGCUUCAGUCCUCCCUGCACUGAGGCUCCAGGCUCAAGACCAGCUGCCAUUGGGCCAGGUCCCUCUCCUCCUGGACCCUUCACCUCCUGCCCAGCCCCAUUCUGCUUUGUCUCUACUUCCUCAUCCUCUUCCACCCCCUAUACCCACGCCUGAAUAUCUCUCACCUUCUUCAAAGGCUUUCUCCUCCUGAGUGCAAAUUCUUCCAAACUUCAGAAAGCAAAUGAACACCAAUGGAGAAUUUCUAAAGGACACCUGGGGCUCCCGCUCUGGACAUCAGCCCCUACUUCCACCACCCCUCUCUCUCUGUGUAAAUGGAGAAUCAAGGUCUAGGAAACCUCCCCAUGUUGGUAUUGCAAGCAGGAGUUGCUGUUAUGUGCACAUGUGCCUUUAUUUCAGGAGAUGGGACAAUGAUAUUCAUCAGAUCAGCAGACUGUGAAGACCCCUGCUUCCCAAAAAGUAUAAAGCACUCUUCAUUAGGGAGGAGGGAGCGAAUACAGGAGCCCCUGACUCCAAGACUACUGAUCACUCCUACUCUGAAAAGAAGUGCAGGACAGACCAUUCUCACCAGGGCCCAGGCAGGGAAGUCAGAGCCACAUUACCACCCCCUCCUUCACUGACAGCCAGCAAGGAAAUGUGACUUCAGUCCUACAACCGCAAGAAAGAGAAUUCUGCCAACAAGCUCUAUGUGAGUUUGGAGGAGAACCUCAAACUCAAGAUAAGAACACAGCUUUGUGAGACCUUGAACAGAGAACCCACAUACACCUUGCUUGGAUUUCUCAAUAAGGAACUGUAAGCAAAUAAUUGAUGUUGUCUUAAGCCAUUAAGUUGGUGGUAAUUUCUUAUGUGGUAAUAUAAAACUACACACAGGCUUAACUGUGCAACACACAAGCACAUAACAUUUUCUCCAACGGAAUGAAUCUAUGAACUGUCAGGCACACUAGUUGCAGGAAGUAAAAUCUUUCCCGAUUUUUUUUUGUAUUUUUUAUUUUGUGAUUUUUAUGUGAUACAAUUAAAUUUUAAUUCCACUAUAUUUCAUUCAUUUGACAAAAUUAAUCUAGUGCCUACAACAUACCAGUAUUGGCUGUACAUACUGAGGAUACAGCUUUGAACAAAACAGUCCAGAGCUCCUGAGCUCAUGUUCCUUACUUUGUAGAGGCUUUACAUGAGUGAGAUGGAGCCACUGGAGCAUUUUAAGUGAAGAAAGGACACAUCCUGACUCGCAUUAGCAGGAUCCAUGACCUCUGUGAGGAGAACAGUCUGUGCACUGCAGCAGCAGUGCCACAAUUCAGAAGUGAGAGAGCGGUGGAGACUUCAGGAGAAGAGUGCCUAAGGGGUGAGAGAGACAGAGAGAAAGGCUGGAGAAGCAGGGGUGAGGAAAAGGAGCAGAGGAAAAGAAUUCUAAAGCAGUGGAAUUCUCAGAUUUAAAUAUGUUAUUUCACAUAUUUUUAAUAAAUAUAUCUACAUGGCCAAUCAGGCUAUUCUGAUUGCACUCUGUGUGAGCUUCCUAAAAACUACUGGCUCCUUACCUUAAUCAGUUCAAACAAAAUAAUAAUACCAAGUGUCCUGGUGAAAAAUGCGCAUCGCUUAGAAGAUAGUAAUUCUUAAAAACAGGCAAUGCAUGAGCACUGGAGCAGGCCCAUUUGAUCAACACUUGCUAAUUCGAGGUGAUUAAAGUUCGCACUCUCUCCUUGUUAUCAUGUGCUUCUUUGUACUGAGGAUAUGUGGGGUCUCACACAGGCAAACUCAGGGCUAUGGAAUGAAGAUCAUUUUAAAAUACAGUCACAAAACGGUCACAGAUAUACUGCCUGGGAAAGUAAAACUCAGGACCUUUGUGAGUCCGACUGCAGUGCUGUGCAGACACAUUCCUGUACAAGGCGUCAAAAUCACUGCUUUUACAGAUUAGAUUCCUGAUGUUCGGGGGUUUUAAGUUUGUCUUACCCACUGUAGUGAAUAAAAAGGAACUUGGUCUCUACGGGAAUCUUUAUCUGGUGUUUUCAGGCACAACUCCUCCACGUUUAAAGAGAAAACCCCUCUCCCUCCCCAUCCAUUCCCUGAGCAAACUCAUUCUUUGGCAUCAAGUUCCCUGGGGGUGAGUUUUCUUCUAGAAGAGUCCAGGGGGAGAGGUCAGGGAUGGAAGGCAGAGUCCAGUUCAGCGAGAGUGAUUCCAGGAAGAGGCGGAAAAGGAGCUGAGCCCAGCCUGGGGGUCUCUCCCGGUUUCCUCAGACAGCCCCCGGGCCAGGACUCAGGGAGACGGUGUGACAAAAAGCUCUCGGUGCAGGAGGAGAGGGGUCAGGGCAAGUCCCAAGUGCCAGAGCAUGGUUCUCAGGGUCUCAACCCAGAGGGCUCUGUCUGGGGUGGGGAAGCCACACCUUAGGAAUUCCCCAUUGCCCAGAAAUUUCACUUCUUCUCUCAACCCGUCAGGUCCUUCCGCCUAGAUAUUCAUCAUGAUGCCCCAGUUCUUAUUCGCAUUGUCCGGUUUCUAAAGAAGCCAAUCAGCUUCACGCGGUUUCCUGUUAGAAAGUCUGCACACACAGGCCUAGAUUCAGAUUCUCUCCAGACUCUGAGGAAACAGUCAUGGCGCUCCGAACCCUCCUCCUACUGCUCUCGGGGGCCCUGACCCUGACCGAGACUUUGGCGGGCUCCCACUCCAUGAGGUAUUUCCACACCGCCGUGUCCCGGCCCGGCCGCGGGGAGCCCCGGUACCUCGAAGUCGGCUACGUGGACGACACGCAGUUCGUGCGGUUCGACAGCGACGCCGCGAGUCCGAGGAUGGAGCCGCGGGCGCCGUGGGUGCAGCAGGAGGGGCCGGAGUAUUGGGAAGAAGAGACACGGCGCGCCAAGGACCUCAUACAGAAUUUUCGAAGGAACUUGCUGACCCUGAGGGGCUACUACAACCAGAGCGAAGCCGGAUCUCACACUUUCCAGUUGACCUAUGGCUGCGAGGUGGGAUCGCACGGGCCGCUCCUCCGCGGGUACUGGCAGUACGCCUACGACGGCGCCGAUUACAUCGCCCUGAACGAGGACCUGCGCUCCUGGACCGCGGCGGACGCGGCGGCUCAGAUCACCCGGCGCAAGUGGGAGGCGUCCCUUGCACAUGAGCGCUUCAGGGGGUACCUGGAGGGCACGUGCGUGAAGUGGCUUCGCAGAUACUUGGAGAAUGGAAAGGAGAUGCUGCAGCGCACAGAUUCCCCAAAGACGCAUGUGACCCGCCACCCCAUCUCUGACCAUGAGGUCACCCUGAGGUGCUGGGCCCUGGGCUUCUACCCUGCGGAGAUCACCCUGACCUGGCAGUGUGAUGGGGAGGACCUGACCCAGGACACGGAGCUUGUGGAGACCAGGCCUGCAGGGGACGGGACCUUCCAGAAGUGGGCGGCCAUGGUUGUGCCUUCUGGAGAGGAGCAGAGAUACACGUGCCAUGUGCAGCACCAGGGACUCCCUGAGCCUGUCACCCUGAGAUGGAAGCCGCCUCUUGAGUCCACCAUCCUCAUUGUGGGAGUCAUUGCUGGCCCGGGUCUCCUUGUCGCUGUGGUGGCUGGAGCUGUGAUGUGGAGGAAGAAGCGCUCAGGUGGAAAAGGAGGGAGCUACACUCAGGCUGCGCGGUGACAGUGCCCUGAGCACAGAUGUGUCUCUCGCGGAUCCUAAAGGUGAGACCUUGGAGAGCCUGGGAGAGCAGUUGGGGCAGAAGGAACACAGUGUGAGACAGCUGCCUUGUGGCGACUGAGUGAUGCAAGAUUUGUUCAUGCCUCCCCCUCCCCAAUUGUGACUUCGGGAAUCUCUGACCUCGCUUUCUGCAAAUGGCAUCUGAAUGUGUCUGCAUUCCUGUUAGCGUAAUGUGAGGAGGUGGAGAGACUGCCCCCCCCCGCCCCACCCACCAAGACCUCGUCCCCACACUGACAUUUCCUGUUUUCCCAUCUACUCUCCUUUUCCAGCAGAGGUGGGCUGAGAUGUCUCCAGCCUUGUCUUAACUUCACAUUGCACUGAGCUGCAAUGUCUUCCAUUUUGAAAAUAAGAAUCUGACUAUAAAUUUGUUUUUUCAAA